GACGAACGCUGGCGGCGUGCUUAACACAUGCAAGUCGAACGGAAAGGCCCUGCUUUUGUGGGCUGCUCGAGUGGCGAACGGGUGAGUAACACGUGAGUAACCUGCCCUUGACUUUGGGAUAACUUCAGGAAACUGGGGCUAAUACCGUAUAGGAGCUCCUGCUGCAUGGUGGGGGUUGGAAAGUUUCGGCGGUUGGGGAUGGACUCGCGGCUUAUCAGCUUGUUGGUGGGGUAGUGGCUUACCAAGGCUUUGACGGGUAGCCGGCCUGAGAGGGUGACCGGCCACAUUGGGACUGAGAGACGGCCCAGACUCCUACGGGAGGCAGAAGUGGGGAAUAUUGCACAGUGGGCGGAAGCCUGAUGCAGCAACGCCGCGUGCGGGAUGACGGCCUUCGGGUUGUAAACCGCUUUCGCCUGUGACGAAGCGUGAGUGACGGUAAUGGGUAAAGAAGCACCGGCUAACUACGUG
rnacentral:rRNA from 1 species